AGUUGGGUGUGGUCAAGAAAUAGGCAAGGUUUUCAACUUUUUUGUCGAAGCCUGUGUUUUCUUUGCUUUUAAAGAUGCCUAAACACGAGGCAAUGACUCCUAAAGCUAUCGCUAACAAGAUAAAGUCCAAAGGAUUACAGAAGCUCCGCUGGUACUGUCAAAUGUGCCAAAAGCAGUGUAGAGACGAAAAUGGAUUCAAGUGUCACAUCAUGUCAGAGUCCCAUCAAAGGCAGCUCCUACUAGUAGCGGAUAAUCCUGGUCGCUUUGUGGGGAGUUUUUCUGAAGAGUUUUUGAAAGGGUUUAUGGAUAUAUUGAGACGACAGUAUGGGACUAGACGUGUCCAUUGCAAUGUUGUGUAUCAGGAAUACAUCAGGGACAAGGACCAUUAUCACAUGAAUGCUACCAGGUGGUCUACACUAACUGGUUUUGUGAUGUAUUUGGGUCGUCAGGGUUUAUGUGAAGUGGAACCGACUCCUAAAGGAUGGUACAUCACUUACAUUGACAGGAGUCCUGAGGCACUGGCCAGACAAGCUGCGGAUGCAAAGAAGGUAAAGAUGGAUCGAGACGAUGAAGAGAGAACUCAGAAAAUGAUUGAAGAUCAAAUAGUUAGAGCUACGGCUCUUAAAAAGGUGAACGGCGAUAAUGAGUCUGACGAAGAAGGCGGGAACUAUACCGAACUUAUUAGAAAAGAUGAGAAUGAGAAAAUCACACUGUCGUUAUUUGGUUCCAAGACUAUUCCCCCUCCCCCUCCCUCCCUCCCUCCUCCUCCUCCUCCUCUACCCUAUCCCUCGGCAGUAAAGGAACACCUCCCAAUGGAAAUUAGCAAUGACACUGAUGAACUGCUGGAGGAGGCAAGACCAGCAAAGAUUAUGAAGAUUGAAUCAAAUGAUUUCCAAGAACCGAAACUACCCCCUCCCCCUCCUCCUCCUCCUCCUCCUGUUGCUGUGGUGAAGCCGUCAGUACCUAUGAAUCCUCUGAAGUUAGCGGAAUUAGAAGCAAAAGCUAAGAAGACAGCAAAGGCUGUCAAAAAACCAUCACAAGAAGAAAAGAAGAAGAAGUCGCUGUCGUCCCUGGAUACUGUUUUUAAAUUGGAGGAGGAAAGAAAAGAGAAAAUGAACCGAAAGGAUUACUGGCUACAUGUGGGAAUCAUAGUGAAAGUAUUGAACAAGAGACUUGGAGAGGACAUUUACAAGAAGAAAGGACUCAUUGAAGAGCUUCAUGAUCAAUACACAGCGUCCAUUAGAAUGCUUGACAGCAAAGAGAAAGUAAAAGUUGAUCAGUCCUAUCUGGAGACUGUUAUACCAGCUAUCGGUGAGGGAGGGGGAGAGAGAGGGAGAGAGAGCGAGAGAAUGACCACAAAGUUAUUAUUAUCACUCUUAGUUAUUAUUAAUGUGUGAGAUGAGAUAUUAGAGCUUAGCCACACCCAUUGACACACCUACAGGAAGUAUGGACCGUUAAUGAGUAUGUAUUAUUAAUAAUGAAUUGAUGAAUUGAUUGUUGAUAAUCAGCAGGAAAGGGAGAGCAUACAGUUUAUAAUAUACAGCAGUUAUUAAGUUAUUAAUUAUUCAUUAUUCAGUUUAAUAACUACUCAAUUAUUAGGUAUUAUUAUAGAAAAUCAUUAUUUUGAAAAACAGACUUCUUUUACGAAUAAAGUAGGACUGUUCUAAUAGUGAAUGGAGCCUACCGUGGCUAUAAAGCUAAACUUGAGGAUGUAAACGUUGACAAGUAUUGUGUGUCAGUUACC